AAGCCCUGUGAGAAUGCCCUACAUAUUCCCUCACCCGGAAAAAAGGAGCAGGCAUUAGGCACGGCCCUAGUGCCAGCCCAAAACGCCUUGCUUAGCCACACCCUCAAGGGACUUCAGCAGUAAUAGACAUUAAGCCAUAAGUGAAAACUUGACUUAGUUAAACCAAGAGGGCCGGUUAAACUCGUGCCAGCCACCGCGGUUAUACGAGAGGCCCAAGUUGAUAAAUGCCGGCGUAAAAAGUGGUUAGUACUAUAUUUUACUAAAGCCAAACAUCUUCAAAACUGUCAUACGUUCUCGAAGACAGGAAGCUCUUCUACGAAAGUGGCUUUAAAUCAUACACUCCACGAAAGCUAGGAAACAAACUGGGAUUAGAUACCCCACUAUGCCUAGCCUUAAACACAGGUGGCUACUUUACACCUAUCGCUUGCCAGGGAACUACGAGCCCCAGCUUAAAACCCAAAGGACUUGGCGGUGCUUUAGACCCCCCUAGAGGAGCCUGUUCUAGAACCGAUAACCCCCGUUCAACCUCACCCUCUCUUGUCUUUCCC
rnacentral:rRNA from 1 species